AUUUAUUUUAAAUUUCCUCAUAUACACACACACUUGGAGAACAAGCAAAACCCCUAGCAUUCUGCAAAAGAGAGUGUAGUAGGAGAAAUGAAGAAGAAGAAAGGAAAUGGAUCUAAACCUUUCUUGAGCUGUUUGAUGUCUUCUAUAUACGAUUCGCUCCACGAGUUGCCUCAACUCACAUCGAUUCUGAGAAGUAAGUCGAAUUAUUGAACAUUUGUGUUGUUGUUUCUCCAUUUCUCAACCUCACCCGCUGAAUCUUUUUUCGCAGUUGAUGGAGAUGUCAGUAUCACAGGGCUUUUAGCGAUCGUUGCGUCAUUUCAGUCGCUAGAGCUUCAGUUACAAGCUAUGAAAGACUUAUUGCGUCAAAGGAAAGAAGCUAUAUAUUCCCAAGGGCAAGAUCUCUUGGUUUUUCUAUCUCCCUACUCUGUUGGAAAUUAAGUUGUACAAACAUGAUGUUGACUCUAUUCAAGGACCAAUUUCGCUUCUUACCGAGGGUUACACUAACAUGGCAAGGACGUUGCAUCCAGAGUUGUUUUCAGAUGAUACAAAUACAUGUUUGAUCCAAGAAGAUGCCAACAACGGAAUUAGUCAUGAGGCGGUGGUUCUCUCCCCAAGCCCAACCGAGGAGAUACUACAGAACAACCAACUUCAAAAUGAACCGGUAAAGAGCCUUCUCUGAAUCUUUGUAUCCAUAGUGUUGUUUGAGAUUGUAUAUAUGUUAUGAUCAGAUUGUUAAUCAUGGUUUCUGAGUGAUAUUACUUUGCCUCUGCGGUUUUGCUCUUUUUGAUACUUGUACAAGUAACUCCUCCUAUCAAAAAUGGUUGAUUUCUCCUCAGUGUAAAGUCUUAUGGUCCACAUGCUUUGAGUUUUACCAAACACACACACACAUGAUUUUCUUACACAGAUUUAGUGAACAACAUUGAUAUGCUGGAACCGUUGAGGCGUGAAAGCAAGACAGACAGCAAUUGGUUUGGUAACAGAAGAUGGAUAGGUUCGUGCAUUAAAGGGAAGGAGAGAAUCUAAGGAGCUGGGUUUAGGGUUGUUUUUCUAAUUAGUAUCUAAUUUCACAUACUUUAGUUACAAUUAUAAGCAGUGUCUCAGCUUCUUGGCCCUCUUCUCGUGUCAAAGAGUAAUAGUGUGUAAGUGGUAAACUGGUAACUAUAAUAUAGCAAUAUUGAUACUAUAUCACAUGGAAAAUGGAUCAUGGCAUACUCACUUUGAAUAGAUAUCUUAUUAUGA